rnacentral:rRNA from 1 species
AACGAACGCUGGCGGCACGCCUAACACAUGCAAGUCGAGCGCUACCUUCGGGUGGAGCGGCGGACGGGUUAGUAACGCGUGGGAACAUACCCUUUACUAAGGAAUAGCCACUGGAAACGGUGAGUAAUACCUUAUACGCCCUUCGGGGGAAAGAUUUAUCGGUAAAGGAUUGGCCCGCGUUAGAUUAGAUAGUUGGUGGGGUAACGGCCUACCAAGUCGACGAUCUAUAGCUGGUUUGAGAGGAUGAUCAGCAACACUGGGACUGAGACACGGCCCAGACUCCUACGGGAGGCAGCAGUGGGGAAUCUUAGACAAUGGGCGCAAGCCUGAUCUAGCGAUGCCGCGUGAGUGAUGAAGGCCUUAGGGUCGUAAAGCUCUUUCACCAGGGAUGAUAAUGACAGUACCUGGAAAAGAAACCCCGGCUAACUCCGUGCCAGCAGCCGCGGUAAUACGGAGGGGGUUAGCGUUGUUCGGAAUUACUGGGCGUAAAGCGUACGUAGGCGGACUAGUAAGUUAGGGGUGAAAUCCCGGGGCUCAACCCCGGAACUGCCUUUAAUACUGCUAGUCUUGAGUUCGAGAGAGGUGAGUGGAAUUCCGAGUGUAGAGGUGAAAUUCGUAGAUAUUCGGAGGAACACCAGUGGCGAAGGCGGCUCACUGGCUCGAUACUGACGCUGAGGUACGAAAGUGUGGGGAGCAAACAGGAUUAGAUACCCUGGUAGUCCACACCGUAAACGAUGAAUGCCAGUCGUCGGGUAGCAUGCUAUUCGGUGACACACCUAACGGAUUAAGCAUUCCGCCUG